GACGAACGCUGGCGGCGUGCUUAACACAUGCAAGUCGAACGAUGAAGCCGGAGCUUGCUCUGGUGAAUUAGUGGCGAACGGGUGAGUAACACGUGAGUAACCUGCCCUUGACUCUGGGAUAACUGCUAGAAAUGGUAGCUAAUACCGGAUACGACCCUCGGAGGCAUCUCCAGGGGGUGGAAAGAAUUUCGGUCAAGGAUGGACUCGCGGCCUAUCAGCUAGUUGGUGAGGUAACGGCUAACCAAGGCGACGACGGGUAGCCGGCCUGAGAGGGUGACCGGCCACACUGGGACUGAGACACGGCCCAGACUCCUACGGGAGGCAGCAGUGGGGAAUAUUGCACAAUGGGCGCAAGCCUGAUGCAGCAACGCCGCGUGAGGGAUGACGGCCUUCGGGUUGUAAACCUCUUUUAGUAGGGAAGAAGCGAAAGUGACGGUACCUGCAGAAAAAGCACCGGCUAACUACGUGCCAGCAGCCGCCGUAA
rnacentral:rRNA from 1 species